GUCACCGAUACAAGCGGCGAGUCUCCAAUUACGCUUGACCUGUAUUCCUAGCAUACAUUUAGCGGCGGAGGGAUAUGAUUUUCAAACGAUUUGCGCAAUGGAAACGAGAAGAGAGAUAGAUUGCUCUGGAUUUCUCCUAAUUCGAGAUAUAGAGAUCUUCCAAAAUUUUAUUCUUUUUGGCUGUAUCCAGGAUAUGUUAACUACUUCCACGAACAUAUAAUUUUGGAGAUUAAUAUUCGCGAGUUCGUUGAAAGACGCAAACGCAGCUGACGAUCAUUAAAGACAUUGCAAUAAUGGAGAUCAGUUGAUAAUAAAUUAGUCGUCGGUGGCUCUCGAUUGAUAUAAUAAUUCAUCCUAGUUUGUUGCACGAGAAUCUUGUGAAUGUUUCUGCCAGUUGCGGUUUCAUUCACGGAGAGAACAGCUGGCGGUCACUAAGGACAAUAGUUGCAACAAUAAUCUAGCGGUGGCCUGUUUUUUCCGUCCAAAGCAUAGUUUCAAUCGAAAUUUUGAUUAUGAUAUUGGAAUAUACUGAUGAGACAGUAUUUUUUUUUAUGCUGAAUCGCCGAGACGUACGCUACAUUCUUGGCAACGGAGAAGUUACGUCGAAGCGACCGUGCACGGUGAAUCGCUGCUGCAUUCCCAGACAUAACGGGUUGUCCGGCACGCAACCAGUAGAUCCAAAAUUGUCGAAAACUUCCCGGCCACACGUGUUAUACCGAAAGUUCCAAGAUCCUUGAGUGACGAGAUCCUUGAGCGAGAAUGACGGAAAAAAAUUUGUCUCGGAAUAAAUCCACAUUGCGAUCAUUCGAGCGAAUCAACUGUUUGCGUGAGCAUCGGACGAUUAAUUACAAGCGAGAUUAUGUUUUAAAAUUGCGGCUCAUUAUCGAAGUGCUUGAGCUAAGAUGAAAAUCUAUGGAGCAUGUCGUCAGGUCUGUUGCAUGACUUUACAACAAAGAUAAUCAGUCGGCAAGAGAGAUGCGGGGAAGACUUUCGGAAAGAGUAACACGGAGAUAAAGUUAUACAAGAUCAGAGGAGAUCGGCGAUAACUUUCUUGGCGUGGUAUAAGCGCAUAAGAACGCAUUCCAUGUGGUUCGAUCGGCGCGGCUGCACCUUUAUGGGGUGUCGCGCGGGGAAACAACCACG